AACAAAUUGAUAUUUUAUUACGAUUAGAAAUGGUUUGUAGAUGUUUGUAGUGCUUUUUAUUUCGUUUGUAGUUCAACAGAUACCGAAAUAAAGACAUUU